CUUCUGGUGAGGAUACCUUUGUCCAGUUCUGCUUCUGAAUGGAGAGCGAUGACAGACAUUAAUCUGAAGAAG
ensembl:snoRNA small nucleolar RNA SNORD38